rnacentral:rRNA from 1 species
UACGUAGGGGGCAAGCGUUGUCCGGAUUUAUUGGGCGUAAAGAGCGUGUAGGCGGUCAGGUAGGUCCGUUGUGAAAACUCGAGGCUCAACCUCGAGACGCCGAUGGAAACCAUCUGACUAGAGUCCGGAAGAGGAGAGUGGAAUUCCUGGUGUAGCGGUGAAAUGCGCAGAUAUCAGGAAGAACACCGGUGGCGAAGGCGGCCCUCUGGACGGUGACUGACGCUGAGACGCGAAAGCGUGGGGAGCAAACAGG